rnacentral:lncRNA from 1 species
UCUGGUACACAGCAUGGCAUACAUAAUAGAUCCUAUGGCUGAAGCAUAGGGGAUGACACUCAUCUCUUCUUUAUCUUUUGCCGUGGUCGGUGACUGAGCCGAGCUCAGUUUCACACCUUGUAACAUAGGCAAGAACCCCUUCUUGGACUGAUCCAUUUUGAACCUCUUCAAAAUCUUAUCAAGGUAUGUGCUUUGUGAAAGACCUAUGAGGCGUCUCGAUCUAUCUCUAUAGAUCUUGAUUCCUAAUAUAUAAGCAGCUUCUCCAAGGUCCUUCAUUGAAAAACACUUGUUCAAGUAGGCCUUAAUGCUGUCCAGAAGUUUCGUAUCAUUUCCCAUCAAGAGUAUGUCAUCUACAUAUAAUAUGAGAAAUGCUACAGAGCUCCCACUCAUUUCUUGUAAACGCAGGCUUCUCCAUAAGUCUGCGCAAACCCAAACGCUUUGAUCAUCUCAUCAAAGCGAAUGUUCCAACUCCGAGAUGCUUGCACCAGUCCAUAAAUGGAUCGCUGGAGCUUGCAUACUUUGUUAGCAUUCCGAGGAUCGACAAAACCUUCCGGCUGCAUCAUAUACAGCUCUUCCUUAAGAUGUCCGUUAAGGAAUGCCGUUUUGACGUCCAUCUGCCAUAUCUCAUAAUCAUAGUAUGCGGCAAUUGCUAACAUGAUUCGGACGGACUUCAGCUUCGCUACGGGAGAGAAAGUCUCGUCGUAGUCAAUCCCUUGAACUUGUCGAUAACCCUUAGUGACAAGUCGAGCCUUAUAGAUGGUAACAUUACCAUCCGCGUCCGUCUUCUUCUUAAAAAUCCAUUUGUUUUCUAUCGCUCGCCGAUCAUCGGGCAAGUCUGUCAAAGUCCAUACUUUGUUUUCAUACAUGGAUNNNNNNNNNNCCUAAUGAUGUGAUCCCGUUAUCAACGACAUCCAAUGUCCAUAGUCAGGAAACCAUGACUAUCUGUUGAUCACAACGAGCUAGUCAACUAGAGGCUCACCAGGGACAUAUUGUGGUCUAAGUAUUCACACGUGUAUUACGAUUUCCGGAUAAUACAGUUAUAGCAUGAACAAAAGACAAUUAUCAUGAACAUUGAAAUAUAAUAAUACUUUUAUUAUUGCCUCUAGGGCAUAUUUCCAACAGUCUCCCACUUGCACUAGAGUCACCAAUCUAGUUACAUUGUGAUGAAUCGAACACCCAUAGAGUUCUGGUGUUGAUCAUGUUUUGCACGCGAGAGAGGUUUAGUCAGCGGAUCUGCGACAUUCAGAUCUGUGUGCACUUUGCAAAUCUCUAUGUCUCCAUCUUGAACAUUUUCACGGAUGGAGUUGAAACGACGCUUGAUGUGCCUGGUCUUCUUGUGAAACCUGGGCUCCUUAGCAAGGGCAAUAGCUCCAGUGUUGUCACAGAAGAGUUUGAUCGGCCCCGACGCAUUGGGUAUGACUGCUAGGUCGGUGAUGAACUCCUUCACCCAAAUCGCUUCAUGCGCUGCCUCCGAGGCUGCCAUGUACUCCGCUUCACACGUAGAUCCCGCCACGACGCUCUGCUUGCAGCUGCACCAGCUUACUGCUCCACCAUUCAACAUAUACACGUAUCCGGUUUGUGACUUAGAGUCAUCCAGAUCUGAGUCGAAGCUAGCAUCGACGUAACCCUUUACGACGAGCUCUUCGUCUCCUCCAUAAACGAGAAACAUGUCCUUCGUCCUUUUCAGGUACUUCAGGAUAUUCUUGACCGCUGUCCAGUGUUCCUUGCCGGGAUUACUUUGGUAUCUUGCUACCAAACUUACGGCAAGGUUUACAUCGGGUCUGGUACACAGCAUGGCAUACAUAAUAGAUCCUAUGGCUGAAGCAUAGGGGAUGACACUCAUCUCUUCUUUAUCUUUUGCCGUGGUCGGUGACUGAGCCGAGCUCAGUCUCACACCUUGUAACAUAGGCAAGAACCCCUUCUUGGACUGAUCCAUUUUGAACCUCUUCAAAAUCUUAUCAAGGUAUGUGCUUUGUGAAAGACCUAUGAGGCGUCUCGAUCUAUCUCUAUAGAUUUUGAUGCCUAAUAUAUAAGCAGCUUCUCCAAGGUCCUUCAUUGAAAAAC